GAUGAACGCUGGCGGCGUGCCUAAUACAUGCAAGUCGAGCGAACAGACGAGGAGCUUGCUCCUCUGACGUUAGCGGCGGACGGGUGAGUAACACGUGGAUAACCUACCUAUAAGACUGGGAUAACUUCGGGAAACCGGAGCUAAUACCGGAUAAUAUAUUGAGCCGCAUGGUUCAAUAGUGAAAGACGGUUUUGCUGUCACUUAUAGAUGGAUCCGCGCCGCAUUAGCUAGUUGGUAAGGUAACGGCUUACCAAGGCGACGAUGCGUAGCCGACCUGAGAGGGUGAUCGGCCACACUGGAACUGAGACACGGUCCAGACUCCUACGGGAGGCAGCAGUAGGGAAUCUUCCGCAAUGGGCGAAAGCCUGACGGAGCAACGCCGCGUGGGUGAUGAAGGUCUUCGGAUCGUAAAACUCUGUUAUUAGGGAAGAACAAAUGUGUAAGUAACUAUGCACGUCUUGACGGUACCUAAUCAGAAAGCCACGGCUAACUACGUG
rnacentral:rRNA from 1 species